UUGUGCGAAGGUAGCAUAAUCAUUAGUCUUUUAAUUGAAGGCUUGUAUGAAUGGUUGGACAAAAAGUAAGCUGUCUCAAUUAUAAUAAUUGAACUUAACUUUUAAGUGAAAAGGCUUAAAUAAAUUAAGGGGACGAUAAGACCCUAUAAAGCUUGACAAUAAUUUAAUUAUACUAUCAAUUGUUAGUGUAACUUGGUUUUAGUUAAAAUUUGUUGCGUUGGGGCGACGAGAAUAUAAUAGGUAACUGUUCUUAAAUAUUUAAUAACAAAUAUAAUUGAAAAUUAGUGUGAUCCUCUAUUAGCGAUUAAAAGAUUAAGUUACUUUAGGGAUAACAGCGU
rnacentral:rRNA from 1 species